ACGUUUUUAGAUAAAGCUGAAAACCAGCCACACAUUGGAAAACAGUUUGUUCCACCAAUGAUGGAUCAAGUACUUGGCGACUAUGCAAGAAAUGUUCCUGAUGCAAGAGAAUCAGAAGUCUUGUCACUCUUUGCGACAAUAAUCAACAAGUAUGUCACUUUUCUGUAUCAGCCUGUAUUAUUAAUCCAGGAUGUUUGGUCUGCUCUUGUAAGAAUAUUUUUAGUUAUCAUCAUGUAUUAAUCAAACUAGUUGAUGCAUAAAAUGUUCAAUACUGUAUAAUCUCAAAAGAAUUUUUACCACUAGAUGUAACAUGAAAAUCUACUAUCUUCUAAACCCAACUUGUUGAUGUGCACGUGUAGAUACAAGGUUGUAAUGCGAGAUGAAGUUCCCCUCAUAUUUGAAGCUGUUUUCCAGUGCACAUUGGAGGUAACUGAUUCUAUGGUCCAUUGAAAAUAUUUCUCACAUGUGCAGUUUUAAGCUAUCAGUCCACCCUUUCGAAAUAUUAUAAACAAUGCUAUGUGAUACUCAGUCGUAGUUCUAUGCAUACAUGGAAGUGACUAGUGAAUUCGUUUUCAUCUUUUUUCUGCAGAUGAUUACUAAGAAUUUUGAAGAUUACCCAGAGCACCGUCUCAAGUUUUUCUCGUUACUUCGUGCUAUUGCUACAUUUUGUUUCCGUGCGUUGAUACAGUUGUCAAGUGAGGUUGGUGAUUAUGUUCUUGCAUUAGUAUUCUUUGCGUGAUCUUAGAAAGCUAAUAACGACCUUUCCAUAUUAUUAGUUUUCUAGUUAUCCCUGAGCUUGUCUUGUUUUUGUGUCUCUUCAUCAGCAACUGAAGCUAGUGAUGGAUUCAGUUAUCUGGGCAUUUAGGCAUACUGAAAGAAAUAUCGCUGAAACUGGGCUCAAUCUCUUGCUCGAGAUGCUGAAAAACUUUCAGGUUUUGGAAUUUCCUUCUCGUUUUGUUGGCAUUUUUAGCCUCUUUAUGUGUGUGCAUGAUUUAACAUGUUGCUCUUUGACUUGUGGCAGAAAUCUGACUUUUGUAACAAAUUCUACCAAACAUACUUUCUGCAAAUUGAGCAAGAAGUAUUUGCUGUCUUGACCGAUACCUUCCACAAGCCUGGGUUCAAGUUGCAUGUGUUGGUGUUGCAGCACUUAUUUAGCCUGGUAAAUAAUACGUAUACUACUUGUAUAAAAAUCUACCACUUGGCUAGUCACUGCGGAAUUAACGGAUCAAUAAAAUAUUUAGGUUGAGAGCGGAUCAUUGGCAGAACCAUUGUGGGAUGCUGCAACGGUACCGCAUCCUUAUUCAAAUAAUGUCGCCUUUGUGCUUGAGUACACCACCAAGCUUCUAAGCUCAUCAUUCCCCAACAUGACUACAACAGAGGUAACGUGAACUAAACCAGAGGAUUUUCAAUUCUUCGAUUGCCACUGAUAUUGAAAAUAAAACACUGACAAAACACAACAAAACAGGUGACACAGUUUGUGAAUGGACUUUACGAGUCGAGAAACGAUGUUGGCAGAUUUAAGGAUAACAUACGCGACUUCCUUAUACAGUCCAAGGAAUUUUCUGCUCAGGUAUAUAAGUAAUUGCUACAGAUUAGAUUGGUAUCUUCUUUUAUACCACAUUUCAUCAAAAACUCUAAUGAAUGGAUUAUUUUUGUUCAGGAUAACAAAGAUUUAUAUGCUGAGGAAGCUGCUGCCCAAAUGGAGAGAGAGAGACAAAGAAUGCUUUCGAUUCCUGGACUUAUAGCUCCCAGCGAAAUUCAAGACGACAUGGCCGAUUCUUAAGUCUUGUUUUUAUAUUUUAUAAGAAGAAGGCUCUCGAAAAGAGAAAUGGAAUUUUUUUUGUAGAGAUCUUGAGAAAUGGAAAGCUUAGAAAAGACAAGUGUUAGGUUUUCUAAAUUACAAUCUUUUUUGUUGGAUUUGUUACUAUUAAAUGAAAAAUGUUUAGGAUCUCAAAAUUAAUCGAACCUCAAACCGGUUAUAAACCGGUCUUAAUUUCAAAGACUUGUAAACCGAAAUAAAAAUGUAAGACCAAGUGGAAUCUCUCUAUACUGUACAUAAGGAAUCCAUUGUACCGAAAACGCAACCUUUGCUUUCUUGGGAAACUCUCUGCAAUUCCUGGAGAAAUCGACCAUCAUCAUCUUAGCUUUGAUUCUCUCUGUGUUUCUUCACUUUCAAUUUCUGUUUUGGUUUAUCGAUAAGAGAAAGUAAAAUUCGUCUGUGGGGGUUUAAGCUUUUUUGGGGUGAGAGAUGGGUCAAACUUUUCGCAAGCUUUUCGAUACCUUCUUCGGCAACCAGGAGAUGAGGGUACUCUCCUUCUCUCCAUCUUCUGUAUUUGAUUUCUGUAUUUGAUCGUUUACUGGACGGAAUCGCGUGUUACCCAUCGUUAAUCGUUAUACUCGCUUUCAUUGUUUUGACGACACUCGGAUUUUGAAAUAAUAUGAAAAAGUGUUUGAUUUGUGCUAAUCAUUGAUGUAUCCUGGGAUUUAUUAUAUGUUCAAAGAGUUACUUUUUAGGUCCGGUAUAUAUGCUUGUAAUCUAAACUCUUGCUAGUACUUUUAGGUACCCUGAAGAUUCAAGUUCCCUUCUACUAUAGUAUAGUACCUACACUGUUUAGAAUCUUGAUGUAGCCAAUCCACUUUCAUAGACAGUUGGGUUACUUGUGUAUCCAUGAAAUCAUUCACACAAGUUAGCUAGUCCAGCUUUUGUUUUGUGUAUUGACCCAGCUUAUUAGCUAUCAAGUGCAAUAACUCUAGAUAUUAAGUGCUGUUACAGAUUAUGUGGUGUUCUUGUUGAUAUAUUACUAAUCUAUGUGGUGUGGUUUCUCACUGUGCAUGAUAUGAUGAAUACAUUUUUCAGAUUUGGUGAUUUUUUUCUUGUGUUUUUUGUUUUGAGAUGCCAGGUCGUUAUGCUGGGUCUGGAUGCGGCUGGCAAAACAACGAUACUAUACAAGCUCCACAUAGGAGAAGUUCUGUCUACUGUUCCCACAAUCGGUAGGUCAGAUUGCUCAAGCAUUUUUAUUUUUUUUGCGUUUUCUCAUUUAUCUUACAACGGGUUUACUGAGGAUUUUAAAUUUCUUACACAGGUUUCAAUGUUGAGAAAGUUCAGUACAAGAAUGUCAUCUUCACAGUUUGGGAUGUUGGUGGCCAAGAGAAGCUGAGGCCCUUGUGGAGGCAUUACUUCAAUAAUACCGAUGGACUUGUAAGUCUCUACUUAUUUUUCACGCUGCCUCUAGUUAGAUAGUUAACUCAUAGAGUCUCUUCUCUUCAUGACAGAUGAUUUCUCAUGUUUUGUAAGGAAUUUUCCUGAUUGAUAUUGGUCGAUGCAUUUGCAGAUAUACGUGGUAGACUCCUUGGACCGAGAGAGGAUUGGUAAAGCGAAGCAAGAAUUUCAGGUACCUUAGAAAAUUUGCACAAAACUUUGGGUCAAAUUAGUUUCUGCAGUGUUUCUAUAACCUCUGCUUAUUGAUUUCUUCAGGAUAUCAUAAGGGACCCAUUCAUGCUCAACAGUGUCAUUCUAGUGUUUGCAAACAAACAAGACAUGGUAAAAGUUCAUAGGCUCUAGCUUUCCUUAUUUCAUAUUUUUUCGUUCUCAUUUACCAAAAUUCGUCUGAACUCUUUAUGAAUUUCAGAGAGGAGCCAUGUCUCCUCGAGAAGUAUGUGAAGGGCUUGGCUUACUUGAUCUCAAGAACAGGAAAUGGCAUAUACAAGGCACAUGUGCUCUUCAAGGAGAUGGGCUCUAUGAAGGCUUAGACUGGUUAUCCGCUACACUCAAAGAGGUUAAAGCCGCUGGUUACUCAUCAGUUGGUCCCUCGUUUUAGCACCCCUACCAUUUGCAAAGAAAAAAAUCCCUGACUAGCUAAAUUGACAUACGAAAGUACCAAAUCAAGCUCAUGGUGUCUCCUGUCUACUCACCAUUAUAUACUUUACAUCCAUGGCCACACCCUUCUUCGUGGCCACUGAUAUGGUAAUAUCACAAAACUAAUGAAAAUCUCUCAAGACUUUUGUAAUGGAAGUGUUUUUGUUUUUCUUUCGUCUUCACAUGGCUCUGCUUCUUAAAGCUAAUGUUAGUAUCAAUUAGGCUCCUUUUUGCAUAAUAUGACUUUGGAGCUUUAUUGUAAAUUCUGAUGGAUACAAAAUGUAUAAAUCUGACAAAAAUUGCAAAAUUCUCAUGAGAUUAUUAAAGUCUCCCUUAUAGCUAUGAUAGAUGAUUGAUCUUUUUACGUCCCUGUCUUCCCCUGUUGAGCUCGGGCACUAUAAAUUUGGUAACUACCGAGUUUGUCUCUUUUGAGUUCAUAUAAAAUACAGCUAAAUCGAGUUUUUUUUUAAAGCCAUGAAGAAAUUACGAAUGAGAUGAAAAGAAAUAGAAAAAAAAAUUACAAAAAAAAAAAAAAGAAAAAUACAACAACCGAAGGAAACAAAAGAAUUAUCAAUAUUUUUCAAAGAGAGAAGGAAAUGAUUUCAAAAUUUUGUUUUAAACUUUUAGUGAAAAUCAAUAUUAUUUUUUAAAAAUAAGUUUAAGAGUCAAAAUCUAUAUGACUUGAAUACAAUGCCGAACUUCAAACACCACAAAACUUACGGACCAACUAAGGACGUUUUUAAAAUUUAAUACUUAAACUAAUUUUUAAAAAGUAAUAGUGAAAUUAACAUGGUUUUAGUUAAAAAAUUAUUCUGUGUUAAAUUUUUUUAGUGAAAAUCACUAUUAUUUUUAAAAAUGAGUUUACGUAUCAAAUCUAUAUAACGUAAAAACAAUGUCGAACUUCGAACACCGCAGAGCUUACGGACUAAUUAAGGAUGGGAUGCCUAAGCGCGGUUAAUUUUCGACGUUUUUAAAAUUACAACACUUAAACUAAUUUUUUAAAAGUAAUAGUGAAAUUAACAUGAUUUUAGUUAAAAAAAAAUUAACUAUUUUCUUAAAGAUUAAGUUUUAAAUUUGUUUUUUUAAAUGUUUUAAUAAAAGUUUUAAAUUAAUUAGUUUUAGUUUUACCCAAAAUAAUUUUUUAAAAGAAAUAAAAACAAAAAUAAGAAUGAAAAAAAAUAAUGUACCUUGUUAGAAGUGGUAACAAAGAAGGCCCAUUCGAAGACUCAGAUUCUCAUCAAAAACAAUUUGGGGCUUAACCAAAAUUCAACCCAUUAGUUUUCUUGAGACCAAAACACUUGAAGCCCAACUUCUUUCCUUUGUUGUUGACUUUUCUUUCUUCUCGGUCGUUGACUCUCUUCUUCUUCUUCGACAUCCUUCGAUCACGAGCCUUUGCUUCUUCUUCUUCUUGUUCUCAUCAAGGAUGUCAACUUCAACAGUCCGCCUUUCUCCCUCUCAUCAUUAGCCGCCGUCUACAAAGUGUUGCGGUGGAGAUCAUGUGAAAUUAGGGUUCGACUGUAGAAGUAGUCACAGGAUAUCGAAUGCACAAGAGAGAAUGGCGAUCAAUCUAAGAAACGUGACGAUCGAUCUUCUUCUCAAGGAAGAAGGCCAGUUUCGCAGAGAGUGGCUCUACCUCUACAUGGAUCAUCGGCUUCACGAGAUUGGCGAUCGAAAAUUGGCAAAGUUUGUUAGACGAGUAUUUAUAAGGAAAGGUACUUGAGAAGAAGAAAAAAGGAAAUCCUCGCUUUUAAUCAAAAAAAAGGAAAUUGAUCACAACGGUCAAUUAGUGAUCACAACGGUCAUUAGUGAUGAUGGCAACGUAUAUUUGAUUUGACCAUAACAAUAGAAUCUGAAUGGAUAUAAUUUAGUAUUGAAAGUCUUUUCUUUCCAUUGUUUCUAUUGACAAAUAAUCUCAAUCCCCUUUUUGGCUUAGCCUUACUUACUCAUGUAUACAGAGACUCUUUUCGUUCACGUGUCCUCUACACUUAUGUUUCAAUGAAUGAUAAUUCCAAGUUCAUAUGCUCAUCAUCAUCCACAUUUCAGAGUCUAUU
rnacentral:lncRNA from 1 species